rnacentral:rRNA from 1 species
ACGGAGGGUGCAAGCGUUAUCCGGAUUUAUUGGGUUUAAAGGGUCCGUAGGCGGAUCAUUAAGUCAGUGGUGAAAGCCGACAGCUCAACUGUCGAACUGCCAUUGAUACUGGUGAUCUUGAGUACGGUUGAAGUAGGCGGAAUAUGACAUGUAGCGGUGAAAUGCUUAGAUAUGUCAUAGAACACCGAUUGCGAAGGCAGCCUACUAAGCCGUUACUGACGCUGAGGGACGAAAGUGUGGGGAGCGAACAGG